rnacentral:tRNA from 1 species
GGGAGGAUAGGAUAGCUGGCCUAUUCCGCUGGACGUAAGAUCCGGUCAUGAGUGGCUCAUGGGUCAAAAUCCCAUUCCUCCCA